UUGAAUAAAACUGGGUCAGGUUGUUGCUGGCUCCUGCUUUGGAGCAAGUGCACGCCGACUCCCAUUUUUAACACCACUGUGCACCUAUGUAGGCCCGAAUUGACUCGUCAAGUUGUUACUUUGGUCGGAGAACUGCUGUGCGAAAGCCAGCUUUUCUUGUAUUCGGGGCUACGUCUUUACACAAACCCAAUCAGAAUGUAUCAGAAUGUUGACAAUUGGCACUUUUGCCUCUAAAACACAUA
rnacentral:misc_RNA from 1 species